GUCCACGCCGUAAACGAUGGAUACUAGCUGUUGGGUGCAAACUCAGUGGCUAAGCGAAAGUGAUAAGUAUCCCACCUGGGGAGUACGUUCGCAAGAAUGAAACUCAAAGGAAUUGACGGGGGCCCCGCACAAGCGGUGGAGCAUGUGGUUUAAUUCGAUGAUACGCGAGGAACCUUACCAAGGCUUAAAUGUAGAUUGACCGGUUUGGAAACAGACUUUUCGCAAGACAAUUUACAAGGUGCUGCAUGGUUGUCGU
rnacentral:rRNA from 1 species